AUUGAACGCUGGCGGCAGGCUUAACACAUGCAAGUCGAGCGGGGUGAUGGUGCUUGCACUAUCACUUAGCGGCGGACGGGUGAGUAAUGCUUAGGAAUCUGCCUAUUAGUGGGGACAACAUCUCGAAAGGGAUGCUAAUACCGCAUACGUCCUACGGGAGAAAGCAGGGGAUCACUUGUGACCUUGCGCUAAUAGAUGAGCCUAAGUCGGAUUAGCUAGUUGGUGGGGUAAAGGCCUACCAAGGCGACGAUCUGUAGCGGGUCUGAGAGGAUGAUCCGCCACACUGGGACUGAGACACGGCCCAGACUCCUACGGGAGGCAGCAGUAGGGAAUAUUGGACAAUGGGGGGAACCCUGAUCCAGCCAUGCCGCGUGUGUGAAGAAGGCCUUAUGGUUGUAAAGCACUUUAAGCGAGGAGGAGGCUCUUUUGGUUAAUACCCAAGAUGAGUGGACGUUACUCGCAGAAUAAGCACCGGCUAACUCUGUGCCAGCCGCCGCGGUAA
rnacentral:rRNA from 1 species